GGAGGUUUGCCAGAACGGUAAUGGAACGGACUUGAAAUCCGAUGUAACGUACCCAUUCGUUGAGUAGGUUCGACUCCUACAGCCUCCUCCA
rnacentral:tRNA from 1 species